AUUGAACGCUGGCGGCAGGCCUAACACAUGCAAGUCGAGCGGAUGACGGGAGCUUGCUCCUUGAUUCAGCGGCGGACGGGUGAGUAAUGCCUAGGAAUCUGCCUGGUAGUGGGGGACCACGUUUCGAAAGGAACGCUAAUACCGCAUACGUCCUACGGGAGAAAGCAGGGGACCUUCGGGCCUUGCGAGACCCGAUGAGCCUAGGUCGGAUUAGCUAGUUGGCGGGGUAAUUGCUCACCAAGGCGACGAUCCGUAACUAGUCUGAGAGGAUGAUCAGUCACACUGGAGCUGAGGCACGGUCCAGACUCCUACGGGAGGCAGCAGUGGGGAAUAUUGGACAAUGGGCGAAAGCCUGAUCCAGCCAUGCCGCGUGUGUGAAGAAGGUCUUCGGAUUGUAAAGCACUUUAAGUUGGGAGGAAGGGCAGUAAGCUAAUACCUUGCUGUUUUGACGUUACUGACAGAAUAAGCACCGGCUAACUCUGUGCCAGCCGCCGCCGUAAUAC
rnacentral:rRNA from 1 species